rnacentral:rRNA from 1 species
GUAGUUAACACCUGCACUAUUUGACGUUACCUACAGAAGAAGCACCGGCUAACUCCGUGCCAGCAGCCGCGGUAAUAACGGAGGGUGCGAGCGUUAAUCGGAAUUACUGGGCGUAAAGCGCAUGCAGGCGGCCUGUUAAGUCAGAUGUGAAAGCCCGGGGCUCAACCUCGGAAUUUGCAUUUGAAAACUGGCAGACUAGAGUACUGUAGAGGGGGUAGAAUUUCAGGUGUAGCGGUGAAAAUGCGUAGAGAUCUGAAGGAAUACCGGUGGCGAAGGCGGCCCCCUGGACAGAUACUGACACUCAGAUGCGAAAGCGUGGGGAGCAAACAGGAUUAGAUACCCCUGGUAG